AUGACUGAUAAUGCACUGGUGGCAUUUGAAUGUUUUCACACUAUUGAACACUGCAAGAAACAACAAGACUCCUUCUGUGCGUACAAGCUGGAUUUAUCAAAGGCGUAUGACAGAGUUGACUGGGAUUUUCUUAGAAGAACGAUGCAAAGCUUGGGUUUUGCUCCCCGAUGGGUAGAUUGGAUCAUGUCCUGCGUGACCUCGGUGAGCUAUUCCGUAAAAUUCAAUGGAACCCUGCUUGAUUCGUUUUCCCCAACUCGAGGUCUUCGCCAAGGUGAUCCACUGUCUCCGUUUUUGUUCUUGUUUAUUGCUGAUGGUCUCUCUGAACUGAUG
rnacentral:rRNA from 1 species